CCUACGGGAGGCAGCAGUGAGGAAUAUUGGUCAAUGGGCGGAAGCCUGAACCAGCCAAGUAGCGUGCAGGAUGACGGCCCUACGGGUUGUAAACUGCUUUUAUACGGGAAUAACGCGCCUUACGUGUAGAGCUUUGCAUGUACCGUAUGAAUAAGGACCGGCUAAUUCCGUGCCAGCAGCCGCGGUAAUACGGAAGGUCCGGGCGUUAUCCGGAUUUAUUGGGUUUAAAGGGAGCGUAGGCCGCAUGUCAAGCGUGCUGUGAAAUGGCCGGGCUCAACCCGGGCCUUGCAGCGCGAACUGGCGUGCUUGAGUCCGCGGAAAGCAGGCGGAAUUCGUCGUGUAGCGGUGAAAUGCUUAGAUAUGACGAAGAACCCCGAUUGCGAAGGCAGCUUGCUGCAGCGGAACUGACGCUGAUGCUCGAAAGCGCGGGUAUCGAACAGGAUUAGAUACCCGUGUAGUC
rnacentral:rRNA from 1 species